AGCGAACGCUGGCGGCAGGCCUAGUACAUGCAAGUCGAACGGCUCUUCGGAGCAGUGGCGGACGGGUGAGUAACGCGUGGGAAUGUGCCCUUAGGUACGGAACAACACAGGGAAACUUGUGCUAAUACCGUAUGUGCCCUUCGGGGGAAAGAUUUAUCGCCUUUGGAGCAGCCCGCGUUGGAUUAGGUAGUUGGUGAGGUAAAGGCUCACCAAGCCGACGAUCCAUAGCUGGUCUGAGAGGAUGACCAGCCACACUGGGACUGAGACACGGCCCAGACUCCUACGGGAGGCAGCAGUAGGGAAUCUUGCGCAAUGGGCGAAAGCCUGACGCAGCCAUGCCGCGUGUAUGAUGAAGGUCUUAGGAUUGUAAAAUACUUUCACCGGGGAAGAUAAUGACGGUACCCGGAGAAGAAGCCCCGGCUAACUUCGUGCCAGCCGCCGCGGUAACAC
rnacentral:rRNA from 1 species